rnacentral:rRNA from 1 species
AAUAUUUCACAAUGGAGUGAACUCUGAUGUAGCGACGCCGCGUGAAGGAAGAAGGUUUUCGGAUAGUAAACUUCUAUCAGCAGGGAAGAAAAUGACCAUCCCAGACGAAGACGCCUCGGCUAACUACGUGCCAGCACCUGCGGUAAUAUGUAGGGGGCAAGCGUUAUCCGGAAUUACUGGGUGUAAAGGGUGCGUAGGUGGUAAUGAAAGUCAGGUGUGAAAGCCCGAAGCUCAACUUCGGGAUUGCACUUGAAAAUUCAUAACUAGAGUACAGGAGAGGUGAGUGGAAUUCCUAGUGUAGCGGUGAAAUGCGUAGAUAUUAGGAGGAACACCAGUGGCGAAGGCGACUCACUGGACUGUAACUGACGCUGAGGCACGAAAGCGUGGGUAGCGAAC